rnacentral:rRNA from 1 species
GUCCUUUGUCGUGGGCUUACUUUAUAGGUGUGCUCCGGAGGGAGCGAAGGGUAGGGAGGGAGCAGGUUGCGGCUGCUCAGUGCGGAGGAGAGUUCAGGUGUUGACGAGAGGAGGGUGAGGGUUAGAGAAGAAGAAGGCGGGGUUCAGCGGAGUGGCCCCUACCUCUAGCUGCGCCGCCAGGCGCGCUCGUCGCUGCCGGCCGACGCGUGGUUCAUGCUGUUGCGGCAGAUGCAGCAGGUCGCUCGGAAGCGCGAGAUGGGCAAACUCCUCUAACGGAAGUCGAAAUUACCGCCCUUCCUAAGUUGGCAUGAGAACGUAAAUUAUGCCCGUCCGAUGAUAGAAGUGUUUUGUUCAACACCCCUGCUUCGAGUUUAGUUAUGACAAGUUUUGACAGGCGACGCAUGGUAGAUAAAGCUCUGGGGAACACGAAAGGGACUUUAGUUGAGUAAGUGAAUACUUUGUCAGAGUUGAAUACCAAACGGUGACCUUUGAUAGGCUAGUCUAAAGUUUAGACCAGAUCUUCCGGAUAACUUUCUCUUCAGAUGAUUUCGGUAAAAGUAACCGUGAUCUUAGCCUCUAGGUUUGCGCCAACCAGUUCUUGUUAAGAGAGGAUCAAGCGGACCGACCGGAGGAAAAUACUCCCACUUAGGAUAGAACCUAACCAGUAUGUCCCUACAAACCAGAAAGGAGAAUUGGACAUUCCAGUUUAUGACGUCGGAAAUACUACUCCCCAUAUGUAGGUAACCCUCGUAUAUACUAUGACAAGGUUUACGUGAAGAAUCACUAAGUAGAUGACCCUUGUCGAAAUCUGGCCGUAUGUACGAUAGUCUACCUUCUGAACUUUCUCGACCCUCUCGCUUCUUCUGAUCGUUGUUGUGCCUUUGAUUAAGACAACGUUCGUUACCGUACUUGUUACGACUCCCUCUCGUUUACUAGCGUGCAAGCCGAAGUCAAUAACAUCAACCACUACUUUAUAACAAACCGUGUCAACUCCUGUUUAAACCGCGUCGGAACACGUUCUUCGAAGUACUUUAACCGACCGCUCAAAGAGUACAGUGCCAACAAGUGUUACUUUAACUAAGACAACGGCUCCUUCAGUUUGUUACAUUUAGAUGACUACUGCACCAUAAAUAAAAACCCCCUGAACCCGGAGAUGUAAGUCUAUAAAGUAACCGACCACAACGUUUUCGUAAACCUCAAGCGGACCGAGGACUACUUCUCAAACUCCUCGUAGAAUCAGUUGAGUAUCCCUUGUCAAUGUAACCACUAGCUUUACUCUACCGAAACAACGGUCUUCCAUAAUGGCUUAAUAAUGUAGUGUUCUACGAGGGCAACGGUGACUAAUUUACGUUCUUACACUAGUAAGAAAGACGUUGAUUACACCUACUUGACCUGUACCUCACCUUAACAGAAGACCUAUGGGUUCUCUCACCAAAUGACUCCUGCUUUGGAAAACAUAGUUUUGUAGAGUCGUGAAAUGAGGGUCUACAGUUUUAACGAGGCCACCAACGUUUCGAUACGAACCUCAAAAGACUACACAUGUAUCCCAGAGUAGCCUAAAGCUCUUGCCCCGGCAACCAACAAUCAGAAUAACCUUUCCUAAUAGUUUCCCAUCUUCCCCGACGUCGCUUCGACAGUCCGUCGAAAAAUCCUGAUAAAAGGGUUCAACUGUCAACGUUUAUCCAUUUCUCUUAUGAACUUGAUACCUGAGGCAACAACUAAAAAGUGGGGUGGCUGUUGCUAAAAUCGGUCCUUCCGGUACCGGCGACGAGAAGGGGUGAGGCGGCACUGGAGUGACGUACUGGGGCAGAGAUACCUGCCGGUGGCCUCAGGGGUAGCAGGGCAGCUAAACCCUAGGCGGUUCCUCCGAGAGGAUCCGUAAAGCGGUAGCUGCGCCGAUGGUAGAUCCGAGACUACUCGUCGGCAGACCAAAGUAGGAGGAGCGUGUGAGCUACUUUAAAUACGUUACAUUUAAAACAAUUGCAUAGAAAAAAAGCAACACGUGCUUCUAUAUCAAACUACCUCAACAGUACUUAGGUUACGAAAUAAAUCCACAUGGUACUGUAAUCUCUCAGGUUAUGCAUGGUACUAGAAGUUUUUCUACAGUACGUGCUUACUACACGCACUGUGCCCGUUGUUAUGGGGAUCAAAGCAGAGAUACAGAUAACAUAACACUUACUUGAAACAACAUAACAUACGACUUGUAACAACAUAAAUACAACAUAAACUACAGCACCUAAACUACUCAAUUAAUUAUUAAACUACAAGACCUAAC